rnacentral:rRNA from 1 species
UACGCAGGGGGCUAGCGUUGCUCGGAAUCACUGGGCGUAAAGCGCACGUAGGCGGACAUUUAAGUCAGGGGUGAAAUCCCGGGGCUCAACCCCGGAACUGCCUUUGAUACUGGGUGUCUUGAGUCCGGAAGAGGUGAGUGGAAUUGCGAGUGUAGAGGUGAAAUUCGUAGAUAUUCGCAGGAACACCAGUGGCGAAGGCGGCUCACUGGUCCGGUACUGACGCUGAGGUGCGAAAGCGUGGGGAGCAAACAGG